AAUCGGAGAAAGGCUUCAUUAAUUGAAGUGGAAUCUCGGUGCGGGAGGCAUUAACAAACAACCAACUGAGAGAUUCAAAGCCAGUUGAACUCGUCGUUAUUUCCCAUAUUAUUUAGACAAUUGUAGCAGACGAUUUUUUGUCUGAUUAAGUAGAAAUCAUUACAAGAAUUCCUAUCCAGCAGAGUUGUGCAGUGAUUCCAUAACCAACUGGAUGAUGGAAGUUUAUUGGGGAUUGCUGCUCUUCUUGAUCAGCUCGUUGAUUUCGUUUUUCUAUUAUUUCUACAGAAAACGUAUUCGUGCUACUACAACUAUUAUUGAACAAACGGAAGCACCUGUUAUUGAUCACGUGACUGUAAGUGGAAAUGCCGACGGAAUUGCUUUUAUAACUCUGCCAUCCGAUGGCCAGUGCACCAACUUGUCCCCUAUUCCUUCUUAUGAAACGUGUGUUCACAAAGAGAACGAUCCCCCGCCAAGUUACGAAAUGGCGACAGCGUUGCCGACUGGUUGACUCCCGUUUGCUGGACUUGGAUUGAUUAAAGUGCUGCUGGACUCGGUAAUUUUUGGUUGACGAAUGAUUUGACAUUUGACGAACUUUUCUGUGCCUUUAUAUACUGCAACUAAGAAAGAAACUCUGCCGCUUACGAGCAAUAAUCUGUAAAUUUAUUGACAUAAUGUGGCAACUGAGAAUUUCAUUAUUGCAUCACACACCUAUUAUCGCAACGAUCGCAACGCACGUGAAAUAUCCCCCAGUCAGUUAGUCAUCAUCAUAAGAGGACAAAGUUAUUUGAACAAGCCGACAGCACAAAUGGAUCGCCAAAUAAAACUAGAACCAGAUUAUUAACCCGGCAUUGUGCAACUUAUAACGUGUAUGUGUUUUCAAUGGUCAUAUAGCUUUAAUAAAUUAUUUCCCUAAUAA